GCCCGGGUGGUCUAGUGGUAUGAUUCUCGCUUAGUAUGUCCCACCAAAUUACCCGAUUUAGUUUAUAUUGUUACUAACCAAUUCUCCAGGGGUUCACCCUUAGCAAAUAUGCGAGAGGUCCCGCGUUCGAUCCGCGGCUCGGGCC